GGUGAGAUGGCUCAGUGGGUAAGAGCACCCGACUGUUCUUCCGAAGGUCCAGGGUUCAAAUCCCAGCAACCA
rnacentral:tRNA from 1 species